GUUUAAUUGUUAUUUU
rnacentral:sRNA from 1 species